GGGAUUGCCUCAGUAACGGCGAGUGAAGCGGCAACAGCUCAAAUUUGAAAUCUGGCUCCUUCGGGGCCCGAAUUGUAAUUUGUAGAGAGUGCUUCGGGCGAGACCUCGGUCUAAGUCCAUUGGAACAUGGUGUCAUAGAGGGUGAGAAUCCCGUAUGCGACCGUGGCUCGAGCCCAUGUGAAGCCUCUUCGACGAGUCGAGUUGUUUGGGAAUGCAGCUCAAAAUGGGUGGUAAAUUUCAUCUAAAGCUAAAUACUGGCUGGAGACCGAUAGCGCACAAGUAGAGUGAUCGAAAGAUGAAAAGCACUUUGGAAAGAGAGUCAAACAGUACGUGAAAUUGUUGAAAGGGAAGCGCUUGCAACCAGACCUGCCCGUAGGCGAUCAGCCGCUGUUCUCAGCGGUGUACUCGCUCUGCGAUCAGGCCAGCAUCGGUUUCGGCGGUUGGAUAAAGGCCUUGGGAAUGUAGCUUCCCUUCGGGGGAGUCUUAUAGCCCUCGGUGCAAUGCGGCCAGCCGGGACCGAGGACCGCGCUCCGGCUAGGAUGCUGGCGUAAUGGUUGUAAGCGACCCGUCUUGAAACACGGACCAAGGAGUCUAACAUCUAUGCGAGUGUUUGGGUGUCAAACCCAUACGCGGAAUGAAAGUGAACGGAGGUGAGAACCCUCAAGGGCGCAUCAUCGACCGAUCCAGAUGUCUUCGGAUGGAUUUGAGUAUGAGCAUAGCUGUUGGGACCCGAAAGAUGGUGAACUAUGCCUGAAUAGGGUGAAGCCAGAGGAAACUCUGGUGGAGGCUCGCAGCGGUUCUGACGUGCAAAUCGAUCGUCAAAUUUGGGUAUAGGGGCGAAAGACUAAUCGAACCA
rnacentral:rRNA from 1 species